UACAGAGGUCUCAAGCGUUGUUCGGAAUUACUGGCGUAAAGGGCUCGUAGGUGGCCAACUAAGUCAGACGUGAAAUCCCUCAGCUUAACUGGGGAACUGCGUCUGAUACUGGAUGGCUUGAGUUUGGGAGAGGGAUGCGGAAUUCCAGGUGUAGCGGUGAAAUGCGUAGAUAUCUGGAGGAACACCGGUGGCGAAGGCGGCAUCCUGGACCAACACUGACACUGAGGAGCGAAAGCCAGGGAGCAAACGGG
rnacentral:rRNA from 1 species